AGGGAUGUUUUUGAAAGGAGGCAGCCAGCAAUGGUCUCCUGCGAGGUGCUGCAUGGUUGUCGUCAGCUCGUGCCGUGAGGUGUCGGCUUAAGUGCCAUAACGAGCGCAACCCCUACCUACAGUUGCCAUCGCGUGAUGGCGGGCACUCUGUGGGGACUGCCUGCGCAAGCAGUGAGGAAGGCGGGGAUGACGUCAAAUCAGCACGGCCCUUACGUCCGGGGCGACACACGUGUUACAAUGGCAGGUACAGCGGGAAGCCACCCGGCGACGGGGCGCGGAACCCGAAAACCUGUCUCAGUUCGGAUUGGAGUCUGCAACCCGACUCCAUGAAGCUGGAUUCGCUAGUAAUCGCGCAUCAGCCACGGCGCGGUGAAUACGUUCCCGGGCCUUGUACACACCGCCCGUCAAGCCAUGGAAGCCGGGGGUGCCUGAAGUGCGUGACCGCAAGGAGCGCCCUAGGGUAAAACCGGUGACUGGGGCUAAGUCGUAACAAGGUAGCCGUACCGGAAGGUGCGGCUGGAUCAC
rnacentral:rRNA from 1 species